UACGUAGGGUGCAAGCGUUGUCCGGAAUUAUUGGGCGUAAAGAGCUCGUAGGCGGUUUGUCGCGUCGAAUGUGAAAACCCGGGGCUCAACCCCGGGCCUGCAUUCGAUACGGGCAGACUAGAGUUCGGUAGGGGAGUCUGGAAUUCCCGGUGUAGCGGUGAAAUGCGUAGAGAUCGGGAGGAACACCGGCGGCGAAGGCGGCUGCCUGGACCGGCCCUGACGCUGAGGCGCGAAAGCUAGGGGAGC
rnacentral:rRNA from 1 species